GACGAACGCUGGCGGCGUGCUUAACACAUGCAAGUCGAACGAUGAAGCUGGAGCUUGCUCCGGUGGAUUAGUGGCGAACGGGUGAGUAACACGUGAGCAAUCUGCCCUUCACUCUGGGAUAACUGCGGGAAACUGUAGCUAAUACCGGAUACGAGGCUUGGAGGCAUCUCCAGGUCUGGAAAGAAUUUCGGUGAAGGAUGAGCUCGCGGCCUAUCAGCUUGUUGGUGAGGUAAUGGCUCACCAAGGCGACGACGGGUAGCCGGCCUGAGAGGGUGACCGGCGGCGCUGGGACUGGGACACGGCCCAGACUCCUACGGGAUGCAGCAGUGGGUAAUAUUGCACAAUGGGCGAAAGCCUGAUGCAGCAACGCCGCGUGAGGGAUGAAGGCCUUCGGGUUGUAAACCUCUUUUAGCAGGGAAGAAGCGAAAGUGACGGUACCUGCAGAAAAAGCACCGGCUAACUACGUGCCAGCAGCCGCCGUAA
rnacentral:rRNA from 1 species